rnacentral:rRNA from 1 species
UACAGAGGCCUCGAGCGUUAGGCGGAAUCACUGGGCUUAAAGCGUGUGUAGGCGGACUUCUAAGUGCCUUGUGAAAUCCCACGGCUCACCCGUGGAACUGCUGGGCAUACUGGGAGUCUUGAGCCACCUAGGGGCGAGCGGAACAAAUGGUGGAGCGGUGAAAUGCGUAGAUAUCAUGUGGAACGCCAACGGAGAAAGCAGCUCGCUGGGGGUGUGCUGACGCUGAGACACGAAAGCCAGGGGAGCGAACGGG